GACGAACGCUGGCGGCGUGCUUAACACAUGCAAGUCGAACGGAAAGGCCUGCUUUCCCUUGUGGAUUGCGGGUACUCGAGUGGCGAACGGGUGAGUAACACGUGAGUGAUCUGCCCCCAACUUGGGUAUAAGCCUGGGAAACUGGGUCUAAUUCCCGAUAGGACUGCAGGGUGGUGCCUGUGGUGGAAAACGAUUUUCUAGUGGUUGGGGAUGAGCUCGCGGCCUAUCAGCUUGUUGGUGGGGUAAUGGCCUACCAAGGCGGCGACGGGUAGCCGGCCUGAGAGGGUGGACGGCCACAUUGGGACUGAGAUACGGCCCAGACUCGUACGGGAGGCAGCAGUGGGGAAUAUUGCACAAUGGGCGGAAGCCUGAUGCAGCGACGCCGCGUGGGGGAUGACGGCCUUCGGGUUGUAAACUCCUUUCGACCGCGAGGAAGCCACCUGGUUGGAAGGGUGGUGACGGUAGUGGUAGAAGAAGCACCGGCUAACUACGUG
rnacentral:rRNA from 1 species